UCGUAACAAGGUUUCCGUAGGUGAACCUGCGGAAGGAUCAUUAAAAGAAUCUGUACUAAGCUUUGCUGUAAGCUCAGAGAUACAAUUCCAACACAUUCUGCGUAUUAAUCCUGUUGCUUCCGUGGGGUGAAAGCUGUCUUGAACAGCUUUAGCUGGCUGGCAUGUUGGUUCCCACGGGAGGUAUUUUCACAAACCAUUUGCAUCAUUUUGCCUUCUGUCUGAAUUGUGUCAAUAAUAAUUGUUAAAACUUUCAACAACGGAUCUCUUGGUUCUCGCAUCGAUGAAGAACGCAGCGAAAUGCGAUAAGUAGUGUGAAUUGCAGAAUUCAGUGAAUCAUCGAAUCUUUGAACGCACAUUGCGCCUCCUGGUAUUCCGGGAGGCAUGCCUGUUUGAGCGUCAUGAAGAAAACUUCAAGUAUUUAUGCUUGGUUCUGAAGGUUGAGUGUUGUCUGUUUACUCGCUCACCUUUGAAAUAAGCAGGCGAACAGCCCAAUGUUCCUUUUGGCGGUAUAGGAUUACUCUUUCGCUUGGACUUGUGGAUCUGUUUUGCCUUGAACCCCUCAUUAUUUUUAGGUUUGACCUCGGAUCAGGUAGGGAUACCCGCUGAACUUAAGCAUAUCAA
rnacentral:rRNA from 1 species